rnacentral:rRNA from 1 species
AUACGGAGGAUCCGAGCGUUAUCCGGAUUUAUUGGGUUUAAAGGGAGCGUAGGCGGACGCUUAAGUCAGUUGUGAAAGUUUGCGGCUCAACCGUAAAAUUGCAGUUGAUACUGGGUGUCUUGAGUACAGUAGAGGCAGGCGGAAUUCGUGGGGUAGCGGUGAAAUGCUUAGAUAUCACGAAGAACUCCGAUUGCGAAGGCAGCUCACUGGACUGUUACUGACACUGAGGCUCGAAAGUGUGGGUAUCAAACAGGAUUAGAUACCCUGGUAGUCCACACAGUAAACGAUGAAUACUCGCUGUUUGCGAUAUACAGCAAGCGGCCAAGCGAAAGCAUUAAGUAUUCCACCUGGGGAGUACGCCGGCAACGGUGAAACUCAAAUGAAUUGACGGGG